GACGAACGCUGGCGGCGUGCUUAACACAUGCAAGUCGAACGAGACGAUUUAGAAGCUUGCUUUUAUUGAGUCGAGUGGCAAACGGGUGAGUAACGCGUAUCCAACCUGCCCACCACUUGGGGAUAACCUUGCGAAAGUAAGACUAAUACCCAAUGAUAUCCCACGAAGGCAUCCGAAUGGGAUUAAAGAUUUAUCGGUGAUGGAUGGGGAUGCGUCUGAUUAGCUUGUUGGCGGGGUAACGGCCCACCAAGCCGACGAUCAGUAGCCGGUCUGAGAGGAUGAACGGCCACACUGGAACUGAGACACGGUCCAGACUCCUACGGGAGGCAGCAGUGGGGAAUCUUCCGCAAUGGGCGAAAGCCUGACGGAGCAACGCCGCGUGAGUGAUGACGG
rnacentral:rRNA from 1 species